rnacentral:misc_RNA from 1 species
AAUUCUCAACUUCAAUAGUUUGUAAUGAACUUAUUGAAGCUUGGAUGUGGAGGCUUUGUUGGCGUCAUUGAAGACGGUCGACUCCUCUUAAAUGCAUUAGUAGGAACCCGUUUGUUGGACCGUCCUUGGUGUGAUAAUUAUCUACGCUUAGGUUAGUUCAAUGAACUCUACUGAGUCAGUCUAACGACUGGAUUGGGUUUUGCAUUAGGUUGCUUUACCUUGCGCUCAUUAGAGUUAGGGACUUUAUCUGCUAUCUAACCGUCUGUGUAUGCGGACAAUUGACUUGACU